CCUUCUUCAGAGCAGCGGGGACCAACUGCCUCCGACCAGGUGAGAUGGUUCCGUCCCUCUGCUGCCUCUGACCAGGUGAGAUGGUUCCGUCCCUCUGCUGCCUCUGACCAGGUGAGAUGGUUCCGUCCCUCUGCUGCCUCCGACCAGGUGAGAUGGUUCCGUCCCUCUCCUGCCCCUGACCAGGUGAGAUGGUUCCGUCUGUCUCCUGCCCCUGACCAGGUGAGAUGGUUCCGUCCGUCUCCUGCCCACUGACCAGCUCCCACAGCUGUUAGACAAUCAAUCAAAUGUAUUGAUAAAGCAGUUUUUAGAUCAAAAGAGUGAGAAUAAGGGGUUUUACAUUAACCCGGCCUGGACUCCAGACAGCAAGCAGAGGCACACAUUAGCAAAGAAAAACUCAACAUCCAAAAUGGCACCCUAUUCACUACACAGUGCACUACUUUUCACCAGGGCCCAGGUCAAAACUAGGGCACUAUUUAGGGAAUCGGGUGCCAUUUUGGACACCCCACCUACCUGUCCCCUGGUCCUCCUCCUCAGCUUGACCUUGAUGGAGAUCUGAGUGUUCUCCAGCCUCUGUCCGCUCAGCCACUUCCUCCCAACCACACCUCACAAUCACAUCACAUCUUAUUUACAGUGCAGUUAUACACGGCAACACACUUUACAGUACAUGACACAGAUACAAAUAAACAACAUGCUAAAUAUGAGAUUCAGAAACUAACUAGAAACCCCAAAGGAUGUGUAAAAUAACUGUCAUCCCUUCAUACCUCUCCUCUCCAGACACUCCCCUGUUCCUCCUUCCUCUGCUCUCCCAGUGUGUGAUGUCAGCUGCUGCUCCCUCUUCUUCUCCAUCCUCCUCUCCGCCACAGAGCAUUCUGGGACGGCACUCUCCUCCCGGGGUGUCGUGGGGUGGUCCGAAUCGUCACUCUGGGUGACCAUGUCACCGCUCAGGACAACAGAGGACGAUGAGAGGUUUGUGACCUCCGGUUCGGAGGUCCGAGGGUGGGUUCUAAAGGGAGCUGUUCCACAGUUGACCGGUGCUUUGACGCUGGGUGGGGUGGAACUGGGGUGUGAAGUGGGGGUCAUAAUCUGGGGACUCAGGAAAGGGAGUGCCGUGUGAGUUGUGUGCUGCUGGCCUUCACUGCUGCUCUGGACUAGUAGGAGGGGUGUAGGGAGAGCAUCAGGGAGAGGACUGAGGAAAGUCAUGUAAAUACCUCCAUUACAGUCCACAGUCUGUGUCCCCAUCUCCACCAAUGCCCCCACCUGUGUCUCUCCUCCCUCCGUCUGCACCCCCACAUCUCUGAGACUGCAC
ensembl:lncRNA